rnacentral:rRNA from 1 species
GGCGUAAAGCGUGCGCAGGCGGUUGUGCAAGACCGAUGUGAAAUCCCCGAGCUUAACUUGGGAAUUGCAUUGGUGACUGCACGGCUAGAGUGUGUCAGAGGGGGGUAGAAUUCCACGUGUAGCAGUGAAAUGCGUAGAGAUGUGGAGGAAUACCGAUGGCGAAGGCAGCCCCCUGGGAUAACACUGACGCUCAUGCACGAAAGCGUGGGGAGCAAACAGGAUUAGAUACCCUGGUAGUCCACGCCCUAAACGAUGUCAACUAGUUGUUGGGGAUUCAUUUCCUUAGUAACGUAGCUAACGCGUGAAGUUGACCGCCUGGGGAGUACGGUCGCAAGAUUAAAACUCAAAGGAAUUGACGGGGACCCGCACAAGCGGUGGAU